rnacentral:rRNA from 1 species
GACGAACCGAGCGAACGUUGUUCGGAAUCAUUGGGCGUAAAGGGCGCGUAGGCGGAUCAGCAAGUCCGGGGUGAAAUCUUUCGGCUUAACCGGAAAAGUGCCUCGGAUACUGCUGGUCUGGAGUGAGGUAGGGGCCGCGGGAACUUCCGGUGGAGCGGUGAAAUGCGUUGAUAUCGGAAGGAACGCCGGUGGCGAAAGCGCGCGGCUGGCCCUCAACUGACGCUGAUGCGCGAAAGCUAGGGGAGCAAACGGG